AGAAUGAAGCUACUCAGAGAUGGUCUGAUAUGAUGAAGAGGACUAUUAGUGAGAAAAGAAGAUUCUAUGGUAUAAAGUCUGAUGAAGAAUAUGUUCCAAAAAUAGCUCAAGAUGAUGGUUCUGAAAUAUGUAUGGAGAAGAAUAGCUCUGUAAUGGAGACUAUUGCAAACACCAGAAUCUUGGGUUAUAAUAAUGAUGCAGACAGACCUAGAGUGAUUCAGCUGGGAGAUGCAAUGCAAAUAAGCAAGGUGAAUGCCUUGAGAGCAGCUAUCUAUCAGACUGUGGAUGAAACUGAAGAACUCAGAAAUGUUAAAGCCUAGAUGAUACAGAUUUUAAAGCUGAAGGAACAAAAUCUGAUCAACCAGAUUGUCAAAGAAAGUUUUGGAUAUAGGUUGAUUUGAUAGAUAGUUCUGCU
rnacentral:lncRNA from 1 species